rnacentral:rRNA from 1 species
AACGAACGCUGGCGGCGUGCCUAACACAUGCAAGUCAAGCGAGAAAGCCCGCAAGGGUGAGUACAGCGGCGCACGGGUGCGUAACACGUGGGUAAUCUGCCCUGGAGUCCGGAAUAACUCGCCGAAAGGCGUGCUAAUGCAGGAUAAGACCACGGGAGUUUCGGCCUCUGAGGAAAAAUGUUGCCUCUGUACACAAGCUAUCACUCCAGGAUGAGCCCGCGGCCCAUCAGCCAGUUGGCGGGGUAAAGGACCACCAAGGCAACGACGGGUAGCUAGUCUGAGGGGACGAUCAGCCGCACUGGAACUGAGACACGGUCCAGACUCCUACGGGAGGCAGCAGUGGGGAAUCUUGUGCAAUGGGCGAAAGCCUGACGCAGCAACGCCGCGUGUGUGAUGAAGGUCUUCGGAUCGUAAAGCACUGUCGCGAGGGACGAAUAAGGGCCGGGUGAACAAUCCGGUCCGAUGACGGUACCUCGAGAGGAAGCACCGGCUAACUCUGUGCCAGCAGCCGCUGUAACAC